rnacentral:tRNA from 1 species
AGUACUUAAAUGGAUUAACCAUGUUUGAUUACGGAUCAAAAUUUUUUAAGUAUUU